UAAUUAAACCGAGUAAAAAAACAUAAUUCUCUGACCUUUUGAAAACUAGCAUAAUAGCUAACGUUUUCUUUUUGUGCUCAACAUGAACCAGGCACACAUUAGUCCACUAACGUUUGACCACAUCAGACAAUGUCCACUGAUCUCGUUAGCUAGCUAGCUCGGCUUAUCCAAAAGUGGACUAUGAUAUGCAUGGUUCAUGUUUAGCACACAAUAAAAACACCGCUAGCUAUUAAAGUGUGGGUCUGGUUAGCUAACGGGUCGUUAAACUUCGUAUAAAACGUGUAUUCUCUGACCUUUAGCAUGAUAGCUAGCGUUUUCUUUUUGUGCUCAACAUGAAGCAGGCACACAUUAGUUCACUAACGUUUUAGUUUGACUACAUUAGACAAUUUCCACUGAUCCCGUUAGCUAGUUAGCUCUGCUUAUCUGAAAGUGGACUAUGAUAUGCAUGCUGCAUGUUUAGCACACAAUAAAAACACCAUUAGUUGUGAUGAGCUUCAAAUUCAGAUCAAAACAAUCAUACAUAUUAUCGGGCCUUUAGGAUAAUAGCUAACAUUUUAUUUUUGUGCACAACAAAUACAUUAGUCCACUCAUUUUUGGUAUAACCACUUUAGACACUUAUCGUGAUUUGCACACAAUAAAAACACAGUUAGCUACGAUGACAGGCUUCAAAAGCUCAGCUCAUGAUAGGUUUUGUAGCAGGUUUAAUCACAAGUUAGCUAACCAGAACCAAACUAACGUAUUUAGUGGAAACUGCCUUUAUUAAACUAAUGUCGUCUAAUAUCUUGUUGCUGCUCCAUCUGAAGGAAACCAUUACAAGACCUGCAAAGUAACUUCACAUUUCAGUUUUAAAAUUGCAUUUAAAUGUCCCUUUUGUUAGCGUUUGCAUGGAGUAUAAUGCAUAAUGAAACUCUCCCUCCCUUGGAUGAUAGCACAAUCUGACUAGCGGCUAAUAACGGCAUUUCACACGAUUUUCAAGAGACUUUUUUUAAAUAUGUAUUACAGCAUCCCUUAUACUCUUUGACAGGGUCUCAUUUAAAAAGGGUUUACUGUGUUGUUGGGCCAAACUUCAUAUCCUAAAUCAUCCUGUGGGG